rnacentral:rRNA from 1 species
CUGGUUGAUCCUGCCAGUAGUCAUAUGCUUGUCUUAAAGAUUAAUCCAUGCAUGUGUAAGUAUAAGUAUUGUACAGCGAAACUGCGAAUGGCUCAUUACAUCAGUUAUAAUUUAUUUGAUAAUCGAAAGUUACAUGGAUAACCGUGACAAAUUACAGCUAAUACAUGCAGUCAGACCUGGUCCAAGGGUCGUAAUUAUUAGUAUUAAACCAUUUCCGAAAGGAGUGUGAUGAUUCAUAAUAAUCGAACGAAUCGCCUGGUGUGCGAUAAAUCAUUCAAGUUUCUGCCCUAUCAGCUUUGGAUGGUAGUGUAUUGGACUACCAUGGCAGUCACGGGUAACGGAGAAUUAGGGUUCGAUUCCGGAGAGGGAGCCUGAGAAACGGCUACCACAUCUACGGAAGGCAGCAGGAGCGAAAAUUGCCCAAUCCCGACACGGGGAGGCAGUGACGAGAAAUAACAACUCUUGGUUAUUCUAAGAAGUGUAAUGAGGAUAAUUUAAAACCCUUACCGAAAGCAAUUGGAGGAAAAGUCUGGUGCCA